GGGGAGAAGACAUUGUGUCUUCGAGUCGUUGAUUUCACACUGCCGAGAAAAGCCUCUAGAUAGAAAAUAGGUGCCCGUACCGCAAACCGACACAGGUAGUCAAGAUGAGAAUUCUAAGGUGAGCGAGCGAACUCUCGUUAAGGAACUCGGCAAAAUGACCCCGUAACUUCGGGAGAAGGGGUGCUCUUUAGGGUUAACGCCCAGAAGAGCCGCAGUGAAUAGGCCCAAGCGACUGUUUAUCAAAAACACAGGUCUCUGCUAAACCGUAAGGUGAUGUAUAGGGGCUGACGCCUGCCCGGUGCUGGAAGGUUAAGAGGAGUGGUUAGCUUCUGCGAAGCUACGAAUCGAAGCCCCAGUAAACGGCGGCCGUAACUAUAACGGUCCUAAGGUAGCGAAAUUCCUUGUCGGGUAAGUUCCGACCCGCACGAAAGGCGUAACGAUUUGGGCACUGUCUCAACGAGAGACUCGGUGAAAUCAUAGUACCUGUGAAGAUGCAGGUUACCCGCGACAGGACGGAAAGACCCCGUGGAGCUUUACUGUAGCCUGAUAUUGAAAUUCGGCACAGCUUGUACAGGAUAGGUAGGAGCCUUUGAAACGUGAGCGCUAGCUUACGUGGAGGCGCUGGUGGG
rnacentral:rRNA from 1 species